AUUGAACGCUGGCGGCAGGCCUAACACAUGCAAGUCGAGCGGAUGAAGGGAGCUUGCUCCUGGAUUCAGCGGCGGACGGGUGAGUAAUGCCUAGGAAUCUGCCUGGUAGUGGGGGAUAACGUCCGGAAACGGGCGCUAAUACCGCAUACGUCCUGAGGGAGAGAGUGGGGGAUCUUCGGACCUCACGCUAUCAGCUGAGCCUAGGUCGGAUUAGCUAGUUGGUGGGGUAAAGGCCUACCAAGGCGACGAUCCGUAACUGGUCUGAGAGGAUGAUCAGUCACACUGGAACUGAGACAAGGUCCAGACUCCUACGGGAGGCAGCAGUGGGGAAUAUUGGACAAUGGGCGAAAGCCUGAUCCAGCAAUGCCGCGUGUGUGAAGAAGGUCUUCGGAUUGUAAAGCACUUUAAGUUGGGAGGAAGGGCAGUAAGUUAAUACCUUGCUGUUUUGACGUUACCAACAGAAUAAGCACCGGCUAACUUCGUG
rnacentral:rRNA from 1 species